GGACCAACGUUGGUCACGGUUCUUCUAAGUGUCAUAGCUUUAACAUGUGUGUUCUCUGGGAACAAAGCUGAGAUCGCCGGGUAGUUCAAGUUUCCAGGGUUAUUACCGGCAAGACUGUGUCUGCAAGAUCUGUUUGAAUGCUUUGUGAAGACCUUGAGCUGUGAAGGACUCAACUCCUGAGUGCAUAGGAAAUCAAAAUACUCCUGAGGUCCAAUGUCGUAGACUAGACCAGGAUCCAUAGCUUUCAGAGGAUCUAUAUGUCCAGCACCGUGAUCAUAAGGCGACGAAGGUUCUGCUCCUGCUGCAUCCGUAAGAGGCUCAAGCAUGUUGUCGUGAACGUAAGCGGUUGUCAUGAGAGCUGAUUUGACCGCUGCAGGGCUCCAAUCUGGAUGCCUUGAUCUGAUUAAAGCAGCCACGCCGCUCACGUGAGGACAUGACAUGGAAGUUCCCGACAGUAUAUUGAACUUAACCCUCCUUUUGUCAGACGACAAACUAGACGGCGCCAUGUCUCCAGACCAAGCUGCGAGAAUGUUGACUCCCGGAGCUAGCAAGUCUGGUUUCAAGAUCUCCAGGGAGAGAAAGUUCGGUCCUCUCGAAGAGAAUGCUGCUACAACAGGAGACGGUUUGAUCCCAACUCUUGUCCCAAGAAUCUCCAAACUCGCUGUAGCUCUUUUACUCGUCAUCGCAUACUCCUUGAUCACUUUACCUUCCUUCUCUCCUACCGCAACAGCUGGUAGCAAAUGACAAUCUGCCACAAGCUCUUCACCGUUCGUCGCGGUGUUGGUCAGUAUCAUCCCAACACCUCCUGCUCUUUUCACAACCUGGCCCUUCUGGACACGUGGAGUAACACCACGGUCGCAUAUCACGAUUUUCCCUGCUACGUUGUGCUGGUCCAAAGCACCGUCUAGACAGAACGACGUCGGAUCAGGACUACUUGCGUUCCUUCCUAAGUAAACAAGAGGAUACUGUUUUCCCGGAGACAAAACCGUUCUGCCUUUGUAAAGAGAAACUCCUUUGAAGACUCUCCUAGUUCCUAGCCUCACCGUGGCUGGAAAGUCUCUGUCCAUGGUACUUGCCCCAACCGUUGUGAUCCACGGAGAAACAUUCGUGAGGCUGAUCGGAUCAGGUCCUCCGUUACCUGCCGAACACGAGACGAACACUCCCAUCUCCAUUGCUCCAAACGUUGCUAUAGCCAAACUGUCACGGGAGUAAGUCGAGAUCCCACCGCCUAAGGAUAUAGAUAGAACAUGGACUCCAUCAGCUACGGCUUGAUCAACCGCUGAUAAGAUGUCCGAGCUGAAACAUCCACCAACCCAACAGACUUUGUAAGCAGCCACUCGUGCCUUUGGAGCCAUCCCUCGAGCCGUUCCAUAAGCAAAUCCGAGAAGAUUUGCUCCUCUGACAGGCGAGCCAGCUACUGUUGCUCCAGUGUGCGUCCCGUGACCGUCUUUGUCUCUUGGUGAUCUGUACUCAAGCUCCUGGUCGAUCUUCCCCGUCGCAGCUUCGUAUCCUCUGUAGAAAACUCUAGCACCGACAAUCUUUCUGUUGCAGUUAUGUUUCAAGAACCCUCUUCCGGUUUCGCAGACACCUCUCCAAGUAGAUGGGACAGGAGACAUGCCUGUGUCGUUGAAGCUCUCACUCUCGGGCCAUAUCCCAGUGUCUAAGACACCAACGACCACAUCAUGGUCGGUGACUCUCUCAGCCCAAACUCUCUCACUCUCUUGCCUCUCUAACCCGAGAAACCUGGGACUUCUUGUGGUGUGGAGCUCGUACCUUGUCUCCGGAAUCACAGCUACAACGCCAGGCUCUUCCUCGAGCCUCGCUGCUUCCUCUUUGCUAAGCCGAGCUGCUAAUCCGUGAAACGCAGUCUGGUAAGUGUAGAGUAUUCUGUUACCUUCUUCUUCAUGUGAUUUGGGAUCUGUUACAGAGUCUAUCUUGGAAGAGUACCAUUGUAGGUGAUUAGUGUAAGGUGAAGGCAUGGCGGAUUUGUCCAUGUGGACAACAUAAGUCUUCUUCUGACCAGUUUCUGCAUGUAGAGACAUGAGAUUGAGGGAUAAGAUGAUGAAAAGAAAACAUUUCUGAAGUGGGUUUUUGCCAGCCAUUGUUAGAAGAAGCUCAAGGAUUAUCUCUCUCUCUCUUUUUUUUUGGGAGAAGGAGAGAUAGAAGAGUCGUUGUUACUUGGAGGAAGUAAUAAAGGUGAAGCAAGUAAGAAUCAUAGAUAAUACAUGACACUCAAAUGGAAUUAAUGAUAGAAACGGACUAACUAAACAUACAAAUGAUUAAUUUGAAUACACUUCCAAACUAUAAGUUAUGUUAUUUGUAAAUUCUAAUUUAUGUAUGUUACUCCAGUUUUUUUAUUUCGAAAUUUAGAAAUAAGAGAAGGAUUAAAUUAUUUGCUGUCUUACUAAACUUUUUUUAUAUACAUUGGAGAACUACGAUUUAAAAUUAAAAUAUGUUUUACCUCUAAAUUUACAAUUUAAAUGGUUUAUAAAUGUGAAAUGCUUGCAAUUCCUUAGUGAAAGUAAUCUCUUUUGGCAACACCUUUGAUGUAUCCACCUUAACAAAAACUUUAGCUUCCUCCAAGUUGGUACACGCAAUGGUUUCCGGUUGGAGUUUCACCUCACCGACUUUUGCGAUGUGAGGCGCUUGAUCCAAAAACUUUCCUACUACGAAAUAUUCUCAUAACGGAGUUGAAUUCGCAAUAAUCUCAUCUUGAAUUUCCAACUUGUUUCUUCAACGAUUUCUUAUCUUGCGCAACAUCAACCCAGCUCUCCGUUUUCUUCGUUACUCCAGCCCGAUCUGUAACCACAUCACCCUCCAGAAUCUCCGUAAUCACCUUAACACCCUUCGGAGGAUCCGACAAAUCCGGCGGAAUAGCCAGAUCCAUCGAUCGAAACCCUGUCACUUGUCGCACUCAAAAUCGCCAAGAAAACCAGCCUUUUACAAAUCGACCUAAUUACAUACCAACCAUCACUUUAUAUAUGUGUAUGUAAUGAGAUCAACCCUUCUGGAGUGGGCCUGGGUGGACUUGGCUCAAGACGAUUUGCUACUGUGCUGCCCAUGAAGCUUUCUCGUAAACCCAAGCUUCACACCAUGUUUUCAAAAUUUUUCUACGUUUCAACAUGUCCCAAAAAGAUAUUUUGGUGUCGAUUGAAGUCAGCUUUGUCGGUCAUAAUGUCUCCCAAACAGUCAGUUUUUGUGGACGAAAGAUUUAUUUCAGACAACAUUCUCACUGCACAUGAAAAGAUACAUAACAUGCGAAUAAACUAAUCAAUCUCCAAAUAAUUCAUGGUGAUCAGAUAUGUCAAUAACAUAUGACAGGUUUGGAUUGUCAUAUCUGAGAAAAUUGUUGGUAGCAGUGGGUUUCAUCAAAGAUGUAUUGAAUUGGUGCUGUUAUGUAUCAUGUCAGACACUUGCUCAGUUUUGAUCAAUGAUCAAUCGUUAGAUAGAUUUGUGUAGGCGAGAGGACUGAGGUGGGGGUAUACAAAGCAAUUCCUCUUCAUUCUAUUUAUACAAGGUCUUGGAAAAUGGAAUUGUAGAAUGUGAACGAGUUAUAUAAAAGCAUUCGCAUUCUUUUUGUGCAGGAGUCUGAUGAAAACACGAUAUUUUAUUUAAAAAGAUAGCUUAUGCAAGAACAUGAACUAAAACUACUGACAAAGUUUUUUUAAAGCAUUGCUUCUAGAGAAGAGCUCUCCCUUACAUAAAGAAAAUAUUAUUUGUGAAACUAAAACAUUAGAGUUUCUUGAAUAACGGUUUGGCCUCUCUUCUACAGAGGUGGCAACCAUGUGAUUAUAACCGGGCUACGAACCUUAUGCGUCGCACUCUUCCACAAAAGACCACCAAACUCAGGCCUCUUCAUCCGCAGCUUCGUCCUGAAAGUAACAGUGUAGGAAAGCUUCUGGUGCUUGGUAGUGAAGUUGAGUGUCUUGGGCUGGACUGUGACGGUUGCGCCUUUGAAAGGAGAGACAGAGACCUUGUAGCUAGAAACGUGAGGACCAACGUUGGUCACGGUUCUUCUAAGUGUCAUAGCUUUAACAUGUGUGUUCUCUGGGAACAAAGCUGAGAUCGCCGGGUAGUUCAAGUUUCCAGGGUUAUUACCGGCAAGACUGUGUCUGCAAGAUCUGUUUGAAUGCUUUGUGAAGACCUUGAGCUGUGAAGGACUCAACUCCUGAGUGCAUAGGAAAUCAAAAUACUCCUGAGGUCCAAUGUCGUAGACUAGACCAGGAUCUAUAGCUUUCAGAGGAUCUAUAUGUCCAGCACCGUGAUCAUAAGGCGACGAAGGUUCUGCUCCUGCUGCAUCCGUAAGAGGCUCAAGCAUGUUGUCGUGAACGUAAGCGGUUGUCAUGAGAGCUGAUUUGACCGCUGCAGGGCUCCAAUCUGGAUGCCUUGAUCUGAUUAAAGCAGCCACGCCGCUCACGUGAGGACAUGAC
rnacentral:lncRNA from 1 species